rnacentral:rRNA from 1 species
UACGUAGGGUGCAAGCGUUAUCCGGAAUUACUGGGCGUAAAGAGCGCGCAGGCGGUCGUUCAAGUCGCGUGUGAAAGCCCCCGGCUCAACUGGGGAGGGUCACGCGAUACUGAUCGACUCGAAGGCAGGAGAGGGUAGUGGAAUUCCCGGUGUAGUGGUGAAAUGCGCAGAUAUCGGGAGGAACACCAGUGGCGAAGGCGGCACUCUGGGCCGGUACGUGACGCUGAGGAGCGAAAGCGUGGGGAGCGAACAGG